UGCGCAGGCGGAAUGAUUAGUCAGUGGUGAAAGCCCUCGGCUCAACCGAGGAACUGCCAUUGAUACUGUCAUUCUUGAGCACAGGUGUAGUGGGCGGAAUGUGUCAUGUAGCGGUGAAAUGCAUAGAGAUGACACAGAACACCGAUCGCGAAGGCAGCUCACUAAGCUGAAACUGACGCUCAGGCACGAAAGCGUGGGUAGCAAACAGGAUUAGAUACCCUGGUAGUCC
rnacentral:rRNA from 1 species